rnacentral:rRNA from 1 species
GACGAACGCUGGCGGCGUGCUUAACACAUGCAAGUCGAACGGACAGGCCCUGCUCUUGUGGGGUGCUCGAGUGGCGAACGGGUGAGUAACACGUGAGUAACCUGUACUUGACUUUGGGAUAACUUCAGGAAACUGGGGCUAAUACCGGAUAGGAGCUCCUGCUGCAUGGUGUGGGUUGGAAAGUUUCGGCGGUUGUGGAUGGUCUGGAGGCUUAUCAGCUUGUUGGUGGGGUAGUGGCUUACCAAGGUUUUGACGGGUAGCCGGCCUGAGAGGGUGACCGGCCACAUUGGGACUAAGAGACGGCCCAGACGCCUACGGGAGGCAGAAGGGGAAAAUAUUGCACAAUGGGCGGAAGCCUGAGGCAGCAACGCCGCGUGCGGGAUGACGGCCUUCGGGUGAUAAACCGCUGUCGCCUGUGACGAAGCGUGAGUGACGGUAAUGGGUAAAGAAGCACCGGCUAACUACGUG